UGGGGAAUAUUGGACAAUGGGGGCAACCCUGAUCCAGCGAUGCCGCGUGUGUGAAGAAGGCCUUCGGGUUGUAAAGCACUUUAGGGUGGGAAGAAGUUUGCUAGGUGAAUAGCUUAGUAAGUUGACGGUACCAUCAGAAUAAGCACCGGCUAACUCUGUGCCAGCAGCCGCGGUAAUACAGAGGGUGCAAGCGUUAAUCGGAGUUACUGGGCGUAAAGGGCGCGUAGGCGGUUUAUCAAGUGAGAUGUGAAAUCUCCGGGCUUAACUCGGAACGGUCAGAUGAUACUGCUUUGCUAGAGUGCAGAAGGGGCAAUCGGAAUUCUUGGUGUAGCGGUGAAAUGCGUAGAUAUCAAGAGGAACACCUGAGGUGAAGACGGGUUGCUGGGCUGACACUGACGCUGAGGCGCGAAAGCCAGGGGAGCAAACGGGAUUAGAUACCCGCGUAGUCCCUGAGCGGGCUGGCAAGGCGCAU
rnacentral:rRNA from 1 species